UACAGAGGGGGCAAGCGUUGUUCGGAAUUACUGGGCGUAAGGGCGCGUAGGCGGCCGCCUAAGUCAGACGUGAAAUCCCUCGGCUCAACCGGGGAACUGCGUCUGAUACUGGGUGGCUUGAAUCCGGGAGAGGGAUGCGGAAUUCCAGGUGUAGCGGUGAAAUGCGCAGAUAUCAGGAGGAACACCGAUGGCGAAGGCAGGUCUCUGGGCCACUACUGACGCUGAGAAGCGAAAGCAUGGGGAGCGAACAGG
rnacentral:rRNA from 1 species